GGGGUUGUGGCUCAGUGGUAGAGCGCUCGUCUCGCACGUGAGGGACUCUGGGUUCGAUCCUCAGCACCACG
rnacentral:tRNA from 1 species